rnacentral:rRNA from 1 species
GCAGUCGCCGCGGGAAUACGAAGGGGGCUAGCGUUGCUCGGAAUGACUGGGCGUAAAGGGCGCGUAGGCGGACCACGCAGUCAGAUGUGAAAUUCCUGGGCUUAACCUGGGGGCUGCAUUUGAGACGCGUGGUCUAGAGUGUGAAAGAGGGUCGUGGAAUUCCCAGUGUAGAGGUGAAAUUCGUAGAUAUUGGGAAGAACACCGGUGGCGAAGGCGGCGACCCGGUUCAUAACUGACGCUGAGGCGCGAAAGCGUGGGGAGCAAACAGGAUUAGAUACCCGCGUAGUCCCUGUCUCUUAUAC